GACGAACGCUGGCGGCGUGCUUAACACAUGCAAGUCGAACGGUAAGGCCCUUCGGGGUACACGAGUGGCGAACGGGUGAGUAACACGUGGGUGAUCUGCCCUGCACUUCGGGAUAAGCCUGGGAAACUGGGUCUAAUACCGGAUAGGACUCCUGGCUUCAUGGUUGGGGGUGGAAAGCUUUUGCGGUGUGGGAUGGGACCGCGGCCUAUCAGCUUGUUGGUGGGGUAAUGGCCUACCAAGGCGACGACGGGUAGCCGGCCUGAGAGGGUGGCCGGUCACACUGGGACUGAGAUACGGCCAAGACUCCUACGGGAGGCAGCAGUGGGGAAUAUUGCACAAUGGGCGCAAGCCUGAUGCAGCGACGCCGCGUGAGGGAUGACGGCCUUCGGGUUGUAAACCUCUUUCAGCUAUGACGAAGCGCAAGUGACGGUAGUAGCAGAAGAAGGACCGGCCAACUACGUGCCAGCCGCCGCAGUAAUAC
rnacentral:rRNA from 1 species